AUUGAACGCUGGCGGCGUGCUUAACACAUGCAAGUCGAGCGGUAACAGGCGUAGCAAUACGUGCUGACGAGCGGCGAACGGGUGCGUAAUACAUGGGAAUCUGCCCUUUGGUGGGGAAUAACCCGGCGAAAGCCGGGCUAAUGCCGCAUGAGAUCUUCGGAUGAAAGCGGGGGAUCGUAAGACCUCGCGCCGAUGGAUGAGCCCAUGUCGGAUUAGCUAGUUGGUGAGGUAACGGCUCACCAAGGCGACGAUCCGUAGCUGGUCUGAGAGGACGGCCAGCCACACUGGGACUGAGACACGGCCCAGACUCCUACGGGAGGCGGCAGUGGGGAAUAUUGGACAUGGGCGAAAGCCUGAUCCAGCGACGCCGCGUGUGUGAAGAAGGCCUGCGGGUUGUAAAGCACUUUCGAUGGGAACGAAAUGUGCCGGGCUAAUACCCCGGCAAGCUGACGUUACUCAAUGAAGAAGCACCGGCUAACUCUGUGCCAGCCGCCGCAGUAAUAC
rnacentral:rRNA from 1 species